CAAAGACCGAAGCUUAACUUCGGGCAGGCGGCGGAAACUGAAGCACUGGAGUACGGUAGGGGUAGAGGGAAUUUCCAGUGUAGCGGUGAAAUGCGUAGAGAUUGGAAAGAACACCAGUGGCGAAGGCGCUCUACUGGACCGUAACUGACACUCAGGGACGAAAGCUAGGGUAGCGAAAGGGAUUAGAUACCCCUGUAGUCCUAGCUGUAAACGAUGGAUACUAGGCGUUGCUUGUAUCGACCCGAGCAGUGCCGUAGCCAACGCGUUAAGUAUCCCGCCUGGGGAGUACGCACGCAAGUGUGAAACUCAAAGGAAUUGACGGGGGCCCGCACAAGCGGUGGAGUAUGUGGUUUAAUUCGAUGCAACGCGAAGAACCUUACCAGGGCUUGACAUCCCGCGAAUCAGAGUGAAAGCUCUGAGUGCCUUCGGGAACGCGGAGACAGGUGGUGCAUGGCUGUCGUCAGCUCGUGUCGUGAGAUGUUGGGUUAAGUCCCGCAACGAGCGCAACCCUCGUCCUUAGUUGCCAGCAUUAAGUUGGGCACUUUAGGGAGACUGCCGGUGACAAACCGGAGGAAGGUGGGGAUGACGUCAAGUCAGCAUGCCCCUUACGCUCUGGGCUACGCACGUACUACAAUGGUUGGGACAAAGGGCAGCAAGCUCGCGAGAGUAAGCGAAUCUCAGCAAACCCAGCCUCAGUUCAGAUUGCAGGCUGCAACUCGCCUGCAUGAAGGAGGAAUCGCUAGUAAUCGCAGGUCAGCAUACUGCGGUGAAUCCGUUCCCG
rnacentral:rRNA from 1 species